GGGGAGCGAACAGGAUUAGAUACCCUGGUAGUCCACGCCGUAAACGGUGGGCACUAGUUGUGGGGACCUUCCACGGUCUCUGCGACGCAGCUAGCGCAUUAAGUGCCCCGCCUGGGGAGUACGAUCGCAAGAUUAAAACUCAAAGGAAUUGACGGGGCCCCGCACAAGCAGCGGAGCAUGCGGCUUAAUUCGACGCAACGCGAAGAACCUUACCAAGGCUUGACAUAUACAGGAAUAUGGCAGAGAUGUCAUAGCCGCAAGGUCUGUAUACAGGUGGUGCAUGGUUGUCGUCAGCUCGUGUCGUGAGAUGUUGGGUUAAGUCCCGCAACGAGCGCAACCCUCGUUCUGUGUUGCCAGCAUUUAGUUGGGGACUCACAGGAGACUGCCGGGGUUAACUCGGAGGAAGGUGGGGAUGACGUCAAAUCAUCAUGCCCCUUAUGUCUUGGGCUGCACGCAUGCUACAAUGGCUGGUACAAACGGCUGCAAUACCGCAAGGUGGAGCGAAUCCGAGAAAGCCAGUCUCAGUUCGGAUUGGGGUCUGCAACUCGACCCCAUGAAGUCGGAGUUGCUAGUAAUCGUAGAUCAGCAACGCUACGGUGAAUACGUUCCCGGGGCUUGUACACACCGCCCGUCACGCCACGAAAGUCGGUAACACCCGAA
rnacentral:rRNA from 1 species